CAGUAGCCGCGGGAAUACGAAGGGUGCAAGCGUUACUCGGAAUUACUGGGCGUAAAGCGUGCGUAGGUGGUGGUUUAAGUCCGUUGUGAAAGCCCUGGGCUCAACCUGGGAAUUGCAGUGGACACUGGGUCACUAGAGUGUGGUAGAGGAUAGUGGAAUUUCCGGUGUAGCAGUGAAAUGCGUAGAGAUCGGAAGGAACAUCUGUGGCGAAGGCGACUAUCUGGGCCAACACUGACACUGAGGCACGAAAGCGUGGGGAGCAAACAGGAUUAGAGACCCGUGUAGUCCCUGUCUCUUAUAC
rnacentral:rRNA from 1 species